rnacentral:lncRNA from 1 species
UUCGGCGACGCGACCGAGACCGAGACCGAGUCUAGGGUUUUACUAGUACUCUUCAUCCGCUUGCCGGUCGCCGCCGGCUCGUCGACGGUUGCGGAGCGUUCUGCGGCGGAGCUUGGCGGGGCGAUUUGGGGGCGAGGUUUUGCGGGUUCUUCGACGGUUGCGGGCGUUGAGCGGCGGAGCUGUGGGCAAAUCAUUGAGGGGUGGGAGGAGCUUCGAGUAAAUGGGCUUUAUCAUGGAAAUAUCUGCUUGGAAAAUGUAUAUUAUUGCAAAGAUAAUGAAAAGAUCACCAUCAAACUUGCAAACUUCCAAAGCAAAGGUGCAAUGAGUAAAGAGGCAGCACAAUUGGAAGAUAUCAAUGCAAUUGGUAGGAUGCUUAAGUCUAUUUCCGCUCUGGCAAAGAUAGGCGUACCCCAUCAAGCAGAACGAUACAUGUUAGUUGAUCACCUGGCAAUGAAUUUGGAGUUUCUUGCAAACACCCAGCAAAUAGGAACAAUCAAAGACGUGAUUCUAGAUCAUGUUUUUUUCUGGUUUAAAGAAAGGAGGAAGAGAUUCUUCAUCUAUGAUAUCCCAAAGGCCUUAAAAGAUGCUGCAUUCUGUAACAAUGUCCGCAGAGGACAAACAUGUGUUCUGGAAUGGGACAAAAAGCCACAUCACGGACUUCUAGGCUCAAUGAACAGGUAUAGGAAAACAAAUUUGAAUUUGCCUGCUUAUGAUGGAAAUGACCCAAUUCAGAAUGUGAAAUUUGUGAGUGGAGCAUACACGCAUGAAGAGGAGGUGCAGGAUGAUCUUACAUUUAAUGGGAUGUCCUCAACUGUUGAUGAAGCUGUUCAAUCUGAGCAACCAAUGUUAUGCCUCAACCUAUACAAAUGCCUGUCACCCGAGAUUGAAGGAACUCAGGUGCCGCUCAGGAACCUCGAGCUGGUGUUGGUUAACAAGUCCUGUGUUUAG